CCGGAGAGUCCUGUGGGGGAGGGGCGGAGGGAACGCACCAGGACCCUCCCACCGGGACUCUCGGCAACUGGGACCCCCGGCACUUACACCCCGGACACCGAAACGCCACAACAGCGUCACUCCCCGGGCCCCACCACACUGAGACCCCUGGACACUGACAACCCCGGCAUUCCCCGGUCACUGUUAUCCCCGACACCAGGAGCCCCGGACAUGGGCUCCCCCACACAGCGACAGCCCUUGCGACCGCGAUUCCCCGGACACCGACACCCCUGGGAGCCCCCCGGGAGCCCCGAUUCCCGCAGCCCCUGACCAUCCUGAAUGACAGAGCUGGGAUAGCUGAUCUCCUGGGAUCAUUCCCCCCUCGAUGUCACUGCUGUUCCCUGGCUGUCCCCAAAAUCUUGAAACUGGUGGGACCUGGACACUUCA